CAAUAGCGUAUAUUUAAGUUGUUGCAGUUAAAAAGCUCGUAGUUGGAUUUCGGGUAGGAUUUGCCGGUCCGUCUUUGAGAUGUGUACUGGUAAGUCCUAUCUUCUUGUCGGGGACCAGCUCCUGGGCUUCACUGUCCGGGACUGGGAGCCGACGAAGUUACUUUGAGUAAAUUAGAGUGUUCAAAGCAAGCCUACGCUCUGAAUAUAUUAGCAUGGAAUAACACGAUAGGACUCUGGCUUAUCUUGUUGGUCUGUGAGACCAGAGUAAUGAUUAAGAGGGACAGUCGGGGACAUUCGUAUUUCAUUGUCAGAGGUGAAAUUCUUGGAUUUAUGAAAGACAAACUGCUGCGAAAGCGUCUGCCAAGGAUGUUUUCAUUGA
rnacentral:rRNA from 1 species